rnacentral:rRNA from 1 species
UACGUAGGUGGCAAGCGUUACUCGGAAUCACUAGGCGUAAAGCGCAGGUAGGCGGUUCGGUAAGUCUUUUGUGAAAGCUCCCGGCUUAACUGGGAGAGGUCAAAGGAAACUACCGGGCUAGAGUGUGGUAGGGGAAACUGGAAUUCCUGGUGUAGCGGUGAAAUGCGUAGAUAUCAGGAGGAACACCUAUGGCGAAAGCAGGUUUCUGGGCCAUCACUGACGCUGAGCUGCGAAAGCUAAGGGGAGCAAACAGGG